GGUGUGUGCAGUGGUACACUUCAUGUGUUGACCCGCUGUUGCCCCCCCUUCCCCUUCCUCGCUGUCAUAACAGUGUCAUGCUCAACUGGUCCCCCCAUUAAUACUGGCAUGAAUGUUGUCACUUGUUUGCCGUCCCAAUGCGUUGGUGUUCUUGCUCUAACAGUGCUUCGCUCAGUUCCACUUGCCCUUGCAGAAAAUCAAUUUUACCCAGAGAAACGGCAUUGUUUCAGCUUACCUUUUCCAAGGAACGUCAAAUCUCUCAAAGUUGAAACUCUUGCCCACUCUUGUCUUCUGCCAUCGUUGUCUGCUCGCGGAGACGCCGGCGACUUUCACUUCCAGCUGAACACCAAAGAAGCACAUGCAUUCCUCCUGACUGGAGCGGAGCGCCAUGCACAUAUGAAGCUGAAGGCUAUCCCUUUCUGGUCUGCACAUCAGCUAGCUAGAGACCGAGGUCUGCACCUGAGACCCGAGCUUGGACAGGAUCAUUGUGUUAUUUUAUGACAUUUAAUUAGAGCAAUUGGCAACGGAACAGACAUUUUCUGCUCAUUCUAAUUUCGAAGCAGACUGCUCCGUUUGUAUCCAAGUGUUAUUCAUUCACCGGGAAUGGAUGAUGUAUUACGUAGCUACAGUAGGAGCUGCAGGUCUACCAAUUGUGCUCACUUGAACAUUUUGACCACACUGAAUUUAAGCUGCCAGUAGACCAGCCACCGCCACUUGACCAUGAGUGCAAACUGGAGGCCCGUCGUUCUUUUGUGUGGUAAAGAAGUGCUGGGGCGCAAAAGGGAGAAGAAUAGAACAGAAUGUGUGCGCUUUGUCAAGGGCACCAACCACCGUGCGAGUUUUCAAUUCUUGGUCUCGAUAAUGUCAGGGGGGGGCCCGGCCCUCUGUUGCUGUAAGAGGAUUUGUCUCGCUUAGUUCACUCUAGCCGUCUUUGGAAAGAUACAAUCGCCAGCUGUGACAUUCGCUACACCUGUAUACUGGAAAUGAUAUCUUGUUAUUAACAAAUAUCUUCUUCAAACCUGCCAUCAUUUUUCUAAGUAACGCCAGGUCAAGUGUCAAGCAAAAGGCCAUUGAUCGUAGCCAGCUGUGACUGAGCCCUCGGGGACUUCAGACAUAUGGCCGGGUCAACAACGUCUGUGUCAGAUGUGGCCCCAUUUAACAUGCACGACUUCAACAGCUCCUCAGUGCUCUUACUGCCAAGCACUUCAGCCACGUUUCAAUGCGUCCCCCUUCAAUCAUCCAAAUUGUAACAGUGAGCCCUGAUCUUUAUAUAUUUUUUUCAACCUCUCAACAAUGGAGAUAUCCUCUUUCAUGAACGUGGAUUAAAAGCUAAACCCUCGAUUCGUUUUUUUCAUUAGAAUCUCAUUGGGCGCUUCGUUCAGUUUGCAUAAGGAGAGAGGGCUUAACAUUCCCAUUCAUGUGCGACAGUGGCACUUGUGUCGGACACUGAUGGUGGUGUGGAUACAAAUUUAUUCGAAUCAAGUGGCAAAGCAGACACACGCAUUCUAUCUACUCUAUGCCUGACGUGCUGUGUGUCACUGUCCCCGGGCAAACGUUUUCUCGUCCCACUCUUGUUUUUUUUCCUCUUCCUUCCUUGUGCACUCAAUCUCCCAUGGCGAUUAAAGAAAGGGUGCCCACCCGCUGUGGAAGAGAGAAAACGGUCAAAAGAGAGGCCAAUCAUCACGUAGGAAGAUAAGUGGACUGAUUAGAGGGAAGGGGAAUAGCGAGGGCAAAAAGGGGCUAGCUUGGAAAAACAACUCAUGGUCAAACAGAAUGAUCAUGCAACGUAUUAAGUAUAGUUUUAUCGUUCCUGCAAGUU